GCCGGGCAUGGUGCCGCGUGCCUGUAAUCCCAGCUACUCGGGAGGCUGAGGCAGGAGACAAGCUUGAACCCGGGAGUUGGAGGUUGCAGUGAGCCAAGAUGGUGCCACUGCACUCCAGCCUGGGUGACAGAGCAAGACUCUGACUCAA
rnacentral:SRP_RNA from 1 species